UCGAGAAUCUUCAGCAAUGGGCGCAAGCCUGACCGAGCGACGCCGCGUGCGGGAUGAAGGCCCUCGGGUUGUAAACCGCUGUCGGAGGGGAGGAAAUGCCAAGGGGUUCUCCUCUUGGUUUGACCUAUCCUCAAAGGAAGUACGGGCUAAGUUCGUGCCAGCAGCCGCGGUAAGACGAACCGUACAAACGUUAUUCGGAAUUACUGGGCUUAAAGGGUGCGUAGGCGGCCCGGAAAGUUGGGUGUGAAAUACCUCGGCUCAACCGAGGAAUUGCGCUCAAAACUACCGGGCUCGAGGAAGAUAGAGGUGAGCGGAACUUAGGGUGGAGCGAUGAAAUGCGUUGAUAUCCUAAGGAACACCGGUAGCGAAAGCGGCUCACUGGGUCUUUUCUGACGCUGAGGCACGAAAGCUAGGGGAGCGAAGAG
rnacentral:rRNA from 1 species